rnacentral:rRNA from 1 species
UACGAAGGGGGGCGAGCGUUGUUCGGAUUUACUGGGCGUAAAGGGCGCGCAGGCGGCGGACCAAGUCAGGCGUGAAAGCCCCGGGCUUAACCUGGGAGGUGCGUCUGGGACUGGUUUGCUAGAGUUCGGGAGAGGAGAGUGGAAUUCCCAGUGUAGAGGUGAAAUUCGUAGAUAUUGGGAAGAACACCGGUGGCGAAGGCGGCUCACUGGCCCGGUACUGACGCUGAGGUGCGAAAGCGUGGGGAGCAAACAGG